UCAGAGACUGACUCUUGGAUGGCGGGCUAGCAGUCUAUAAUUUUAAAAAGGUGAUUUUGAUCUGAUAAAUCUGAUGGUCUGCCUUACAAACCACUAUUGUGUUUUGAAUUAAAAGAUCUUUUCUUAUAGCAGAACCAAAAUGUAGGGAUGACACAUCAUAUCUACUAGCCUGGAGAAAAAGGAUUGAUAUUUGUAAUCAAAGAAAUGAAAAGUUGCCUGUAUCUUUUUGGUGGAAAAUACUGAAAAUUUGUGAUGGAUCAUGUUUCAGAAUUUAGUUGGCCAGGCUUUGGACCAUCUAAGAAAUCAGCACAUCUAAGAAAGUUAAAAAAUUAAAUAACAGUAAAUAGCCAUUGGCAGGAAGGACUGUAACAGCAGCUUUAUUUUGUUGACAGUCACAUCUUAGCCACUUGAUUAAAACUCUGGGGUGUAAAAUUGCCAUCUUUAGGCUCCUAUGUAAAGAGGAAGUAUUCUGCUCCUUAAUGGUCAGUCUUAGGGAAUAAAUAACCUUACAAUUUCAGCCUUUCAACAGAUUUCACCUCCUGGCGUGAAAAUUCUAAGAACUGUUAGAGUUAUUCAUAAGUGGAUCUUGAAGUGCCAUUUUCAUCUUGGAUGGUUUGACUCUAGACCUCUAGUUUAGUGCGUUGUACCUGACGGGUUGUGACUUUUCACAAGGUGCUGCUUUCUAAGAAUAGAUGGACCACAUUUUAAAAACCUGUUCCUUGCCUUGUUCAUUUUUUAUUCUCUUAUGUAUUCUAUUUGUGUUUUAUUUAUACACAUUUUGGAGUAUUUAAAAAUAACUGGUGGUUCUUCGAAUUUAUUUGCUCACCUUAUAUUCUUAAAUUCUCUCUGAUUUGUGGCUGUUCUCUCUGAUUUGUAGCUAUAACUUUGUUUGGACCUUGAUGGCCUCAUCUGACUAGUUAC
rnacentral:lncRNA from 1 species